rnacentral:rRNA from 1 species
UAGUUGGUAAGGUAACGGCUUACCAAGGCGACGAUCAGUAGCCGACCUGAGAGGGUGAUCGGCCACAUUGGAACUGAGACACGGUCCAAACUCCUACGGGAGGCAGCAGUGGGGAAUAUUGCACAAUGGGCGAAAGCCUGAUGCAGCCACGCCGCGUGAGUGAUGAAGGCCUUCGGGUCGUAAAACUCUGUCCUCAAGGAAGAUAAUGACGGUACUUGAGGAGGAAGCCCCGGCUAACUACGUGCCAGCAGCCGCGGUAAUACGUAGGGGGCUAGCGUUAUCCGGAUUUACUGGGCGUAAAGGGUGCGUAGGCGGUCUUUCAAGUCAGGAGUGAAAGGCU